UGGUAGCAAAGAAGGUUGAGUGGGGAGCUGGGACUUUCACUUCUGUCUGGUAGCAGGCAUUGCGCCCCAUGGUUUCAGUGGAAGCCACAUGAGGAUCCUGUAUUUCUAUUGCCAUCUAACCAUAGUAUGUACUUUCCUUUUUCCCACCAGUGUCAGAAGAGACAAAGCAGGAAGCCAGAUCAUUCACCAUGAUCUAGUAUAAGGAGCCCUCUAACUGCAGUAUCAGUGGAAGUCAUACCUCUUCUGACAUGUGGCGAUGAGAGUCUUGGUUGCUCGGCUGCUUGCUUAACCUAUUUGACAUCCUAAGGGAGGAAAACCUUGUUACAGCUAAGCAGAAGUGGUAUUUCACGUUCUCCACUGAGGGCACUGCUCUACCUGGAAGAGGGAAAAGCAUCUCCCAAAGCAAAAACCAAGAAAUCUCAACUUGUAUUGGGAAAGAUAAUAGAUGAUAACCCCGAGGAGAUACCUAUGUGGAGAUUAACAGAUAGAGAUUUCAAAGCAGCAUCAUAAAAAUACUUCAGUGAGCAUUAUGAACAGGCUUGAAACAUGAAAAAUUAGAAAAUCUCAAGAAAAAAAUAGAAGAUACCAAGUAGAAAUUUUAAAACUGAAACUAUAAUAACUGAAAUGAAAAACUUGAUGGAUUGGCCCAAUAGCAGAAAGAAGUAGACAGAGGGAAGAAUACAUAAACUUGAAGACACUACAAUAAAAAUUAUCCAAUCCAAACAAAAGUGAAAAAAUAGACAGAAAAAGAACAAGACCCAGGAACCUAAAGGACUAUAAUAAAAAAAUCUAAAAUUGGAGUCCAGAAGGAGAGUAGAAAUAGUAUGGGGCUGGAAAGUAUCUGAAGUAAUGGCUGAAAAUGUCUCAAAUUUGGAAAAAAAAAAACAAAA